rnacentral:rRNA from 1 species
UGGGGGGAAACCCUGAAGCAGCAACGCCGCGUGGAGGAUGAAGGUUUUCGGAUUGUAAACUCCUUUUGUUAGAGAAGAUAAUGACGGUAUCUAACGAAUAAGCACCGGCUAAUUCCGUGCC